CUGAGGGGGACAGGUCCCUGGGGAAGCAGAGGGCCUGAGGCAUGGACCAGGAUGACCUGGGCUACCUACAUGGAAACCUCUUUCUCCUGCCAGGAGAGCCCUGGAACUGAGCCUGGCUCUGGUAAAUAGCUCCAACGUGCGAGCCAUGAUGCAAGAGCUGCAGGCCUUUCUGGAGUCCUGCCCUCCUGACCUACGGGCUGACUGUGCCUCAGGCAUCCUGCUGGCUGCAGAGAGGUGAGGUGCCCAGGAGUCAAAGAGGGUAGAAUCUGGGGAGGGUCAGUACCAGGACUGAUGAGCCAUAUAUCCCCUAGGUUUGCUCCAACCAAACGCUGGCACAUAGACACCAUCCUGCAUGUGCUGACAACGGUGAGGCAGGGGCCAGUCAGAGAGCUGGGCAGAAGUGGUCAGGAUUCACCACACUGACUUGGCCAUGCCCACACCUUCCAGGCGGGCACCCACGUGCGGGAUGAUGCAGUGGCCAACCUGACCCAGCUGAUUGGGGGGGCCCAGGAGCUACAUGCCUACUCUGUGCGCCGCCUCUACAAUGCCCUGGCAGAAAACAUUUCCCAGGUACCAUUCCCACCUACCUAGGCCCAGGGCUGCCCAACCACUCCCUUGCCCAUCCUGGGCCACCUCCUCCCUACACUAGAUUCCAAUUUUUCUCUCAAGGUCACAGCUACUUACAUAGUGCAGAGGACAUCCGAGCACAGAGCCCUGUUUUUAAGAACAUCUGGGCUUUUGUCCUGACUCUGGUACCUCCUGGUUAUGUAACUACAGAUGACUAACUUCCCUUAUGCUCCAUGUACCCUGACUGCCUCUUAGAAAUGCCUUGAGAUUAAAGCUCCUGUGUUUAUGAGGUUUUAUUAUUACCUUGAAUGCUGAAUGAAUUAACAAGGCCAGCCAGUAUCUAUAGCCCCCUUUUCCAUCUUAAUUAAAUAGGGUGGGCAGAAAGCAUCCACCCCUUCCACAAGGGAGGGACCCUCUCACAUUUCCAUUCUGUGGUUAGGCCAUGUAGUUCUGAUGCUUGGCCACCAGAGGGCAGUGGGAGCCAGGUAACAAACUUCCCUUUCCCCACCCCUCCAACCCCCCACCAUCUUUGCACUGCCUAAAGGGAUAUUGCCAGGUCUGGAAGUGAGGAGGGGACCUCAGACACUGGCCCAGCAGUGUUUCUUUCUUUCUCUCUCUCUUUUUUUUUUUUUUUAAUAGAGAUGGGGGGGUCUCGCUCUGUUGCCCAGGCUGGUCUUGAACUCCUGGUCUCAAGCGAUCCUCCCGCCUCAGCCUCCCAAUGUGCUGGGAUUACAGGCGUGAGCCACCAUGCCCGGCCAGCCCAGCAGUUUCUUAUCCCAUGUAGCAACCACUGGUGCAGGUGGCAGCCUGGUGCAUUGGGGAGUAUGGGGACCUCCUGCUGGCGGGGAACUGCGAGGAGAUUGAGCCCCUUCAGGUGGACGAAGAGGAAGUGCUGGCAUUGCUGGAAAAGGUGCUGCAGUCCCAUAUGUCCCUGCCAGCCACUCGAGGAUAUGCCCUCACGGCCCUCAUGAAGCUCAGCACUCGCCUCUGUGGGGACAACAAGUAAGAAGGGGUCCCAGCCCCUUGAGAGAUGGCCUGUCACUGGGCCCACCCAUUUCUGAGUUUCUUUCCAGGCAUACAUACCCAGCCCUCCCUACCCCCCAGCCCUUAGGUUCUUGUUUUUGAGCCAAAUCUGGGUAUUUCCCUGCUCCGUGGGCCUUUCCUUCCUGCCACAUCCUGCAGUGGCACACUGCCAUUGCCACUUACAUACUACACUGGCCCAGCCGCAUCCGCCAGGUGGUGUCCAUCUACGGGAGCUGCUUGGACGUGGAGCUGCAGCAGCGGGCUGUGGAGUAUGACACACUCUUCCGGAAAUACGACCACAUGAGGUGUGUCCAGCACUGUGCUGCAGCAUGGGACCCAAACCCCUGCCCUCUCCCAAAUGCCCUUUUCUAGGUACAAGGGCCUCAUCCUCACCUGUGUUCUUCCACAUCCACGGUGAGAGCUUCCCACCCACUGUUAAUUGAAGCUAAGCUGGCUUCCAACCCUCCUUGUUCAUCUGAAAAUCAGCAACAACAUGUCAUUUUAGGAAAUCAGAAGGGUACUUCUGAGUCACCAUGUGCCCAGGGGUCCAUGUUCCUAGUCCUCAUCCUAGAUGCCUCUUGUGAAAGGCCCAGAGACCACAGAGAGGCACACUUGCAUUCCAUCCUCUCAGGGCUGCCAUCCUGGAAAAAAUGCCUCUUGUGGAGCGAGAUGGCCCUCAGGCUGAUGAGGAAGCAAAGGAAAGCAAAGAAGCAGCCCAGCUUUCAGAAGCAGCUCCAGUGCCCACAGAGCCCCAGGUGAGAAGGCUAGAAACUCUGGGGUAGGAAGACAGGCUGAGCUUCAUACCCAGCCCUGCCCCUUCUGUCCCUUCUGCCAGGCCUCACAGCUCCUGGAUCUGCUAGAUCUCCUGGAUGGGACUUCUGGGGAUGUCCAGCAUCCUCCCCCUCUGGACCCAUCCCCAGGAGGUGCCCUGGUACACCUGCUUGACCUUCCCUGUGCACCUCCAUCCCCAGCUCCCAUCCCAGAUCUCAAAGUGUUUGAGCGUGAGGGAGUACAGCUGAAUCUGUCUUUCAUUCGACCCCCUGAAAACCCUGCUUUGCUGUUAAUCACCGUCACUGCCACCAACUUCUCAGAGGGUGAUGUCACCCAUUUCAUCUGCCAGGCUGCUGUGCCCAAGAGUCUCCAGCUGCAGCUGCAGGCCCCCAGUGGGAACACAGUUCCAGCUCGGGGUGGCCUUCCUAUCACCCAGCUCUUCAGAAUCCUCAAUCCUAACAAGGCCCCCCUACGACUAAAGCUGCGCCUCACCUACAACCACUUUCACCAGUCGGUGCAGGAGAUCUUUGAGGUGAACAACUUGCCUGUGGAAUCGUGGCAGUAACUGUCUCCACUCACAGCCUGAAAUUCUCCUGUGUCCCAAACCCCAGGGGGCCCCAGCAGCUUCGAACCUACACCUGAGGGCUACCAGCAGGUGGCGCUCUGGCUUUGCACUGCAAAAACUGGGGACCAGCCCCUUUCUCCCACAAAUAAAGCCCAAUAAAGCCUGAGAGGGGAGGAAAGCC
rnacentral:sRNA from 1 species